rfam:Ciona savignyi cont_36827, whole genome shotgun sequence.
UCACUCUGGCUUCUCUUCAACGUAUGAUUCUUUCGCCUUUUACUAAAGAAUUCCGUGGAGAGGAGCAGUUCAAUGAGUCUUGAACAUUUUUCGAUCUCCGACUUUGGUCGGUU